AACGAACGUUGGCGGCGUGGAUGAGGCAUGCAAGUCGCACGUGAAAGUCGCAAGAUGAGUAAAGUGGCGGACGGGCGAGUAACACGUAAUCGAGCUGCCCACGAGACGGGGAUAACCUCGGGAAACCGAGGCUAAUACCCGAUGGUCUCACCGGAUCGCAUGGUCUGGUGAGUAAAUGCUGGGGGUCCUUCGGGACCUGGUGCUUGUGGAGGUGAUUGCGGCCCAUCAGCUAGUUGGCGGGGUAACGGCCCACCAAGGCGAUGACGGGUAGCCGGCCUAAGAGGGUGGUCGGCCGCACUGGGACUGAGAUACUGCCCAGACUCCUACGGGAGCUGCAGUCGAGAAUCUUCCGCAAUGGGCG
rnacentral:rRNA from 1 species